ensembl:lncRNA
AACUACGUUACCCACAACCACCUGUGCUGUCAUCGCUUUGCCACCAGAUGUUCAGAUUGCUCCUCAACAUUCUGAUUGAACUCUUCCUCCAGAAACACUUGAGCGUUUAUUUCCAUAAUCAUUGACAAGAAAAACUGAAGAUUGUGAAGAAGAGUUGAAGUAGUGUGGGAAGUAACUCCUCUGAAAGUUUAAUCUUGUGGAAAAUACAUUGAAUACUAAGCAAGUAUUUUCUGAAGAUAUCUACACUUUGGGGGGAUUUCUGGAGCCCUACAAGAUGUAACAGAUCCCAAGAUAAACGGCAUGGCUCCCUGGGCGUGCUGAAGAGGCGGCAUUGGCGAUGAUGCGAGGCACCGCCUAGCAUGCUUCCGGGGUGCAUCGAGGACGGAAAAUAUAAACUGCUCCCAUGAGACUUUGUUGGCAGGCUGGCUCCUACAGAUGGCUGCUUCUCCAAGGCCUCGUUCACACUCCCCAGGUCAUAUCGACGCAGCCCCAGGUCAUAUCGACGCAGCCCCAGGUCAUAUCGACGCAGCCCCAGGUCAUAUCGACGCAGCCCCAGGUCAUAUCGGACAUAACACGACUUCUGCGUCGCUCUAGAUCAACAUCUGUCACAAUCUUGAACUUGGUGUCUACAAAAAUGAAAAAUAGCUGCCAUGGUGGUAGUCAGUGUAGGGAAGUAUAAAUCGUAGUCAACAGUUGUAAUGUAGUUCAGGCAGCCCUUGAAAUCCUGAAAUGUUUCAGCAAAGCCAUUCACGUUAUGAUCUCACUACUUAAUGACUCCGCAUCCACACACACUUCCGUACAAAAACACCAGAUCCAAGCAAUAUAUCCGACGUGAGCUCAAAGGCUUUGCAGUGUGAAUGGAGCAUAAGGAGAACAGAAGUAUUAACCCGACAGGUCCAAACUAUCUGUGAACAUUCUGUUCAGCUGCAGUUUUCUUUCUAUGAGUUGCAUAACAAUUAUAAUUUAUUUAUUCACUGCACACAAUAAACAUUGCAAAUGCAAUAGGAUUAAAACAUUGCCCAUAUCUGACUUUAAUGCAUCUGGUCUUUGUUUGUGAUGAAAUAAAUUAGCUAAAUUAACUUAUUGAGAAUAUCAUGCCAAACUGUAAUUUAUUUAUGAAAGAUUCUUUUUCCUUGGUUGGUGAGUGAAAGCAACUGAUCAAAUAAAUAGAUUUGCUAUUGGUUCGAUUUUAUGGUUUAUUUACUAUUGAAAGUAUUUCCAUAAGCAUCAGUGCAUCAACACUUUGGCAUUAGGUUUGGCAGCUGAAAAGUCAACUCAAGUUUUUUAGGUUUGCUGAAAGACCUCAGAAAGUAAAAUUGAAAAUUGUGUUCACAUGGAUUUUUGUUGAAUGUAACUUUUUAUAUUGAGAAUAUCAAUAUUUCUUCUCAUAAUAUGCAUUCAUGAUACUGGUACAGGACGCUCCUUGUAAACUGUUUAUUUUGAAUCUCAAUCCAGAAUUGGUUCAUUCCGACUGACUGAAACCAUACCGUGUACAAAAUAUCCACAUGAAUUAUGAAACAGCCAGUAUGGAUGAGCGGGUCUGAUCUCUGUCUGACUUGAAGCCUUAAUUUUAAGGUAGCCUUUGGCCAUGUUUUUUAUUGCAGUCAUAUUUCAUCAAAGAAUUUCACCAACAUGCGAGUAAAAAACAUAAUGAACCUUUUGUGGGUCAGAGCGUCCUCAUUGUCUUCACGAGAACAGAGAAUGUAAUUUAAGAUCUCAAACCUUGCUGGAAAAUCGAAGAUGGUGUAUAUGACACAUGCAGUCCUACAUGUAACAAAAGACAAGAGGAAACAUCCCAUUUUCCUUUGGAUUCAAUUUGCGUUAAUAAAUUCUAAAUAAAAUGUCACAAUAUUUAUCAUUUGUUUGUGUGCACUCCCUUAAAAUAAGCUAAUUGUGAAUAAUAUAAAUGUAUUUUUAAUCAAA